rnacentral:rRNA from 1 species
UUAGGAAUCUUCGGCAAUGGGGGAAACCCUGACCGAGCGACACUGCUUGAAGGAUGAAGGUCUUCGGAUCGUAAACUUCUGAACCUGCGACGAAAAAUGACGGUAGCAGGCUAAUAGCACCGGCUAACUCCGUGCCAGCAGCCGCGGUAAUACGGAGGGUGCAAGCGUUAUCCGGAAUCACUGGGCGUAAAGGGCGCGUAGGCGGUUUGUUAAGUCCGAUGUUAAAGACCGAGGCUCAACCUCGACACGGCGUUGGAUACUGGCAAGCUGGACGGUUGGAGAGGAAGGUAGAAUUACCAGUGUAGCGGUGGAAUGCGUAGAUACUGGUAGGAAUACCCAUUGCGAAGGCAGCCUUCUGGACAACACGUGACGCUGAGGCGCGAAAGUGUGGGGAGCAAAC